rnacentral:tRNA from 1 species
AGCGAUAUGGCUCAAUGGUAGUGCACUUGCCUAGCAUGCGGAAGGCCCUGGGUUCAAUCCCCAGCAUCACUU